ACGGGUGAGUAACACGUAGGUAACCUGCCUUUAAGACUGGGAUAACUAUCGGAAACGAUAGCUAAGACCGGAUAACUGGUUUUCUCGCAUGAGAGAAUCAUAAAACACGGAGCAAUCUGUGGCUUGAAGAUGGGCCUGCGGCGCAUUAGCUAGUUGGUGAGGUAACGGCUCACCAAGGCGACGAUGCGUAGCCGACCUGAGAGGGUGAACGGCCACACUGGGACUGAGACACGGCCCAGACUCCUACGGGAGGCAGCAGUAGGGAAUCUUCCGCAAUGGACGCAAGUCUGACGGAGCAACGCCGCGUGAGUGAUGAAGGUUUUCGGAUCGUAAAGCUCUGUUGCCCUAGACGAACAGCAAGAGGAGUAACUGCCUUUUGUGUGACGGUAUAGGAGAAGAAAGCCCCGGCUAACUACGUGCCAGCAGCCGCGGUAAUACGUAGGGGGCAAGCGUUGUCCGGAAUUAUUGGGCGUAAAGCGCGCGCAGGCGGUCAUUUAAGUCUGGUGUUUAAUCCUGGGGCUCAACCCCAGUUCGCAUCGGAAACUGGAUGACUUGAGUGUAGGAGAGGAAAGUGGAAUUCCACGUGUA
rnacentral:rRNA from 1 species